UACGUAGGGUGCGAGCGUUGUCCGGAAUUAUUGGGCGUAAAGAGCUCGUAGGCGGUUUGUUGCGUCUAUCGUGAAAACCUGCGGCUUAACUGUGGGCUUGCGGUGGAUACGGGCAGACUUGAGUUCGGUAGGGGAGACUGGAAUUCCUGGUGUAGCGGUGAAAUGCACAGAUAUCAGGAGGAACACCGGUGGCGAAGGCGGGUCUCUGGGCCGAUACUGACGCUGAGGAGCGAAAGCGUGGGGAGCGAACAGG
rnacentral:rRNA from 1 species